UGAACCUAUGACGGUUUGUUCCAUAUUUCUGACAUAAAUGUAGUUAGAAUGUUGUAUUUUCGUGUUAAAUGAUGCUAAAGUUUCAGAAGACGGUUUGGAUGGCCUUGAACGCUCACCUGCUCCCUGUGACGUCACGUGGAACCCGGACUUCCUGAUAUGGGCGUUUCCGGAUACACGCGCCUCCCGCUCUGCCGCUGCGAUUCAUGGAGCUAGCAUGGAGCUAGGCGCUAAUGGCUUCCAGGAAAUAUUUUUUUCAGGGUUUAAGUACCGCUAACCAGAAGUGCUUAACGUUGCCAAUUCCAGGUUAAGAGAAAAAUGGAGGAAUGUUUUGGCGAAGCUGGACUAUUCUACGCCUUUCCAACGUCAGAAGCUAACCUCGUGGAACUUUUCAUUGGAAUGCAUUUCCCUUUUGGAAAGGAUGCCAGGUUCAGAUUUGGGUCGUUAAAAAGAGACGGAGGAGGGCUCUGAGAGCGUGUGUGUGUGGGGGCGUGGCUACAGCCAGAACCCGAGCUAGUGUGGGCGUGUCUGACCGCCAGCUGGAAGCAAGUCCUGUGAGGUAAUAGCGGUAGUUAGUAAUUCCAUGCAGUGAUAAUGGCGGCUCGUCACCGUAACAAAGUCAACUCAAAUAAGGCACUUGAACAGAAAUUCAUUACAGUCAAUGAGGUACUUAACUCUUGCCUGCCCUCUGGUGGACAAACCAUAAUAAUGCACCUUUCUAUGGCCAGUGUUGGGAUUUAUUUGAGCCGUCGUUAUUAAGUUAGCUUAGCAUUCCUGCUAAUGUAACCGGCUGCCAAAGCACCUUUUAUAAGAAAUAAACACUUUGUGUUGACAACACACGGCAGAAGAUGAAAAAAAGGCAUUUUGGAGUAGUUUGACGACAUAAAAACGCAGUAAAAAUGAAUAAAAAGUCAAUUUUAAAGGUAAUACUUUGGUGAAUGCUUCAGUCGCUGGAAGCUUAUGUUGUCAUUGUAUAUAAAGGUAUGUAGUAUAUACAGUACAGUACUAUGCUACGCUAAUGAUAAAUAUAUGAAUAUUAAUUAUGCCUUUGUUAUGGAAGCAAAGAAAGGCUACCUCUGCUCAUCUCUGACAUUUACAUAUAUUAUAUAUAUUAUAUAUAUUUUGGAAUAGAAUUGUUGCUUGUUGGGAAUGUGUAAAUAAGCAAAAAUAUUAUGUUUUGUCGUUUUCCUGCAUUUUUGCUGUAAUUAGUUUACAUGAAAAAAGCAAAAAAGAGCAUUUCUUUGCUUCCAUUACAGAUCUUAUUUGGGGGCGGAGCCAUAUCAGGUCACAUGAUAUAAGUAUAAGUAUACCAUACUGUACGUAUGGAUGGUCAGAGGAAGUUUGAGGCUGCUGAGUUGUGAUCACAGUGAAGACGCUUGUGGCGGUUCAUGAGAGGAAGCGGUCCUAACGGAGGAGGGCGGGGCUUAUACGUAAGAGCACUGCGACCCCCCACCCUCCCUUCAGUCAUCCUCCGUCGCCUCGGUCUUGACGUCAUGAACCUCGCUGGGCCCCGCCCUCUCCACCUGAUUGACAGCCGCCGUCUCCAAACAGGCCGCGUCUCGGGGCUCGACCAGCGCACUGCGAACGGCGGCUUCAUCCUGGAGGGACGGAGAAGGCGGCGACCAGGACGCACCUGCCCCAGAAAGGAGGGAGCGGCCGAUUACGGCGCCGCCUCUGUGCUGGCCGGCCACGCCUCCUCGGGCGGUCAGGGCAGCCAACCAGCUGGGGAGCAGCGUGGGAACCUGUCGUCGAGAGAAAGGGAUGGAGGGUGACUUCCUGCAAGGUCGUGCGAUGGUGUAGGGGGGGUCCUACCUGGGUGGGCGACGAUAGGUCGGCUCGAGCGAAGGCAAAGGGGCGGGCGGCAACUCGCUUGUCAAACAAAGACACGUCACAACUCUGAAACGAUGCAUGACAGCGUGAAUGCUAAUGCUAACGCUAAAGCUCAAAGAUUCCCUCAUAGAUGGAAAGAUCUGCGGUUCCGGAACGUUCAUCCCUUGCUCAGACCUGCUCAGCGAAGUCGUUGCCGUCCACCUCGUCGCUGUUGGACUGACCGCCCGGGCUUUGGACGUCGAUGCCGUGGCUUUCCAAGAUGGUUGCUUCUUCAAGACACACAAAUAUUCCUCACAGCUUCUGGACGUUCUAGGAGAAAUGCAUCUGUGGCGGGACUUUACCGAUGUUGGCUCGCCUCUUCAGGUCUUUGCGACGGUUGGCGAACCAGUUGUAGACCUUCAGGGAUGUCACCUUCUCGAAGUCCAGCAGCUUCUUACCUGAACGUACAACAAGCACACAUUGUGUUGCUGCGCCCGGAGGCCAAGGACCACCUGGGGUUGGCUUCCGCCUUCACACACCUGCUUUUUGGAUGACCGCAUUGCAGGCGGAGGAAAUCUCCUCCCUCUUGGCUUCGUCUGGAUAUUGAUUAUCGCUGAAAUAGCUGACACACACACACACACACACAUUACAAUAUUACAAUGUUAGUCUUCUCUGUGAGUCUUUACCUCUCCAUGACAGCCAGACACUCUUUCUUCCAGGUGAAUCGGUUCCCCCUUCGCAGACGGAAGGCCCCGGGGGUGGGGGCAAAUGUGGGCGGGGCUUGGUGCCAGUCCAUCAUGUCCUCCAGGGCCAACGGGGCAGCUCGCAGGGCCAGCGUCGCACCUGGUGACAGGUAAUCAACCGUUAAGGACGUGAAAAAAACGACAUACUAACCCCUUACGUUUUUUUCAAAAAAUCACAAAAUUAAAAACCUGGCAUUUUAUGCCAUUUUUGGGUGCUUCUCAAGCCCCUGAUGAGUGUGUGUGAGGUUUCCCCCUUAUUUUUCACCAGAAAAGUGCAUUAAAAGCAAGUUGAAAAAAAUGAAAAAAACGACAUACUAACCCCUUACGUUUUUUGUAAAAAAUCACCAAAUUAAAGAUCUAGCAUUUUAUGCCAUUUUUGGGCGCUUCUCAGGCCCCUGGUGUGUGUGUGUGAGGUUUCCCCCUUAUUUUUGACCAGAAAAGUGCAUUAAAAGCAGGUUGAAAAAAAUGAAAAAAACGACAUACUAACCCCUUACGUUUUUUGUCAAAAAUCACCAAAUUAAAAACCUGGCAUUUUAUGCCAUUUUUGGGUGCUCCUGGUGCCCCUGUUGAGUGUGUGUGAGGUUUCCCCCUUAUUUUUAACCAGAAAAGUGCAUUAAAAGCAAGUUGAAAAAAAUGAAAAAAACGACAUACUAACCCCUUACGUUUUUUCCAAAAAAUCACAAAAUUAAAAACCUGGCAUUUUAUGCCGUUUUCGGGUGCUUCUCAGGCCCCUGUUGAGUGUGUGUGAGGUUUCCUUUUUAUUUUUGACCAGGAAAGUGCAUUAAAAGCAGGUUGAAAAAAAUGAAAAAAACGACAUACUAACCCCUUACGUUUUUUGUCAAAAAUCACCAAAUUAAAAACCUGGCAUUUUAUGCCGUUUUCGGGUGCUUCUCAGGCCCCUGUUGAGUGUGUAUGAAGUUUCCCCCUUAUUUUUGACCAGAAAAGUGCAUUAAAAGCAGGUUGAAAAAAAUGAAAAAAACGACAUACUAACCCCUUACGUUUUUUUCAAAAAAUCACAAAAUUAAAAACCUGGCAUUUUAUGCCAUUUUUGGGUGCUCCUGGGGCCCCCGUUGAGUGUGUGUGAGGUUUCCCCCUUAUUUUUGACCAGAAAAGUGCAUUAAAAGCAAGUUGAAAAAAAAUGAAAAAAACGACAUACUAACCCCUUACGUUUUUUGUCAAAAAUCACAAAAUUAAAAACCUGGCAUUUUAUGCCAUUUUUGGGUGCUCCUGGUGCCCCUGUUGAGUGUGUGUGAGGUUUCCCCCUUAUUUUUAACCAGAAAAGUGCAUUAAAAGCAAGUUGAAAAAAAUGAAAAAAACGACAUACUAACCCCUUACGUUUUUUGUCAAAAAUCACCAAAUUAAAAAUCUAGCAUUUUAUGCCAUUUUUGGGUGCUCCUGGUGCCCCUGUUGAGUGUGUGUGAGGUUUCCUCCUUAUUUUUAACCAGAAAAGUGCAUUAAAAGCAAGUUGAAAAAAAUGAAAAAAACGACAUACGUUUUUUGUCAAAAAUCACCAAAUUAAAAAUCUAGCAUUUUAUGCCAUUUUUGGGCGCUUCUCAGGCCCCUGUUGAGUGUGUGUGAGGUUUCCCCCUUAUUUUUGACCAGAAAAGUGCAUUAAAAGCAAGUUGAAAAAAAAAUAAAAAAACGACAUACUAACCCCUUACGUUUUUUUCAAAAAAUCACCAAAUUAAAAAUCUAGCAUUUUAUGCCAUUUUUGGGCGCUUCUCAGGCCCCUGUUGAGUGUGUGUGAGGUUUCCCCCUUAUUUUUGACCAGAAAAGUGCAUUAAAAGCAAGUUGAAAAAAAUGAAAAAAACGACAUACUAACCCCUUACGUUUUUUGUCAAAAAUCAACAAAUUAGAAACCUGGCAUUUCAUGCCGUUUUUGGGUGCUUCUCAGUCCCCUAAUGUGUGUGUGUGAGGUUUCCUUUUUAUUUUUGACCAGAAAAGUGCAUUAAAAGCAAGUUGAAAAAAAUGAGAAAAACGACAUACUAACCCCUUACGUUUUUUGUCAAAAAUCAACAAAUUAGAAACCUGGCAUUUAAUGCCGUUUUUGGGUGCUCCUGGUGCCCCUGUUGAGUGUGUGUGAGGUUUCCCCCUUAUUUUUGACCAGAAAAGUGCAUUAAAAGAAAGUUGAAAAAAAUGAAAAAAACGACAUACGUUUUUUGUCAAAAAUCACCAAAUUAAAAAUGUAGCAUUUUAUGCCAUUUUUGGGCGCUUCUCAGGCCCCUGUUGAGUGUGUGUGAGGUUUCCUCCUUAUUUUUAACCAGAAAAGUGCAAUAAAAGCAAGUUGAAAAAAAUGAAAAAAACGACAUACUAACCCCUUACGUUUUUUCCAAAAAAUCACAAAAUUAAAAACCUGGCAUUUUAUGCCGUUUUUGGGUGCUUCUCAGGCCCCUGAUGUGUGUGUGUGAGGUUUCCUCCUUAUUUUUAACCAGAAAAGUGCAUUAAAAGCAAGUUGAAAAAAAUGAAAAAAACGACAUACUAACCCCUUACGUUUUUUGUCAAAAAUCAACAAAUUAGAAACCUGGCAUUUUAUGCCGUUUUUGGGUGCUUCUCAGUCCCCUAAUGUGUGUGUGUGAGGUUUCCUUUUUAUUUUUGACCAGAAAAGUGCAUUAAAAGCAGGUUGAAAAAAAUGAAAAAAACGACAUACUAACCCCUUACGUUUUUUGUCAAAAAUCACAAAAUUUAAAACCUGGCAUUUUAUGCCAUUUUUGGGUGCUUCUCAGGCCCCUGAUGUGUGUGUGUGAGGUUUCCCCCCUUAUUUUUGACCAGAAAAGUGCAUUAAAAGCAAGUUGAAAAAAAUGAAAAAAACGACAUACUAACCCCUUACGUUUUUUGUCAAAAAUCACCAAAUUAAAAACCUGGCAUUUUAUGCCGUUUUCGGGUGCUUCUCAGGCCCCUGUUGAGUGUGUGUGAAGUUUCCCCCUUAUUUUUGACCAGAAAAGUGCAUUAAAAGCAAGUUGAAAAAAAUGAAAGAAAACGACAUACUAAUCCCUUACGUUUUUUGUCAAAAAUCACCAAAUUAAAAACCUGGCAUUUUAUGCCAUUUUUGGGUGCUCCUGGUGCCCCUGUUGAGUGUGUGUGAGGUUUCCCCCUUAUUUUUAACCAGAAAAGUGCAUUAAAAGCAAGUUGAAAAAAAUGAAAGAAAACGACAUACUAAUCCCUUACGUUUUUUGUCAAAAAUCACCAAAUUAAAAACCUGGCAUUUUAUGCCAUUUUUGGGUGCUCCUGGUGCCCCUGGUGUGUGUGUGUGAGGUUUCCCCCUUAUUUUUGACCAGAAAAGUGCAUUAAAAGCAGGUUGAAAAAAAUGAAAAAAACGACAUACCUUACGUUUUUUCCAAAAAAUCACAAAAUUAAAAACCUGGCAUUUUAUGCCGUUUUCGGGUGCUCCUGGGGCCCCUGUUGAGUGUGUGUGAGGUUUCCUCCUUAUUUUUAACCAGAAAAGUGCAUUAAAAGCAAGUUGAAAAAAAUGAAAAAAACGACAUACGUUUUUUGUCAAAAAUCACCAAAUUAAAAAUCUAGCAUUUUAUGCCAUUUUUGGGCGCUUCUCAGGCCCCUGUUGAGUGUGUGUGAGGUUUCCCCCUUAUUUUUGACCAGAAAAGUGCAUUAAAAGCAAGUUGAAAAAAAUGAAAAAAACGACAUACUAACCCCUUACGUUUUUUGUCAAAAAUCAACAAAUUAGAAACCUGGCAUUUUAUGCCGUUUUUGGGUGCUUCUCAGUCCCCUAAUGUGUGUGUGUGAGGUUUCCUUUUUAUUUUUGACCAGAAAAGUGCAUUAAAAGCAAGUUGAAAAAAAUGAGAAAAACGACAUACUAACCCCUUACGUUUUUUGUCAAAAAUCAACAAAUUAGAAACCUGGCAUUUAAUGCCGUUUUUGGGUGCUCCUGGUGCCCCUGUUGAGUGUGUGUGAGGUUUCCCCCUUAUUUUUGACCAGAAAAGUGCAUUAAAAGCAAGUUGAAAAAAAUGAAAAAAACGACAUACGUUUUUUGUCAAAAAUCACCAAAUUAAAAAUCUAGCAUUUUAUGCCAUUUUUGGGCGCUUCUCAGGCCCCUGGUGUGUGUGUGUGAGGUUUCCCCCUUAUUUUUGACCAGAAAAGUGCAUUAAAAGCAAGUUGAAAAAAAAAUAAAAAAACGACAUACUAACCCCUUACGUUUUUUGUCAAAAAUAAACAAAUUAGAAACCUGGCAUUUAAUGCCAUUUUUGGGUGCUCCUGGUGCCCCUGUUGAGUGUGUGUGAGGUUUCCUCCUUAUUUUUAACCAGAAAAGUGCAAUAAAAGCAAGUUGAAAAAAAUGAAAAAAACGACAUACUAACCCCUUACGUUUUUUGUCAAAAAUCACCAAAUUAAAAAUCUAGCAUUUUAUGCCAUUUUUGGGCGCUUCUCAGGCCCCUGGUGUGUGUGUGUGAGGUUUCCCCCUUAUUUUUGACCAGAAAAGUGCAUUAAAAGCAGGUUGAAAAAAAUGAAAAAAAACGACAUACUAACCCCUUACGUUUUUUCCAAAAAAUCACAAAAUUAAAAACCUGGCAUUUUAUGCCGUUUUCGGGUGCUCCUGGGGCCCCUGUUGAGUGUGUGUGAGGUUUCCCCCUUAUUUUUAACCAGAAAAGUGCAUUAAAAGCAAGUUGAAAAAAAUGAAAAAAACGACAUACUAACCCCUUACGUUUUUUGUCAAAAAUCACAAAAUUUAAAACCUGGCAUUUUAUGCCAUUUUUGGGUGCUUCUCAGGCCCCUGAUGUGUGUGUGUGAGGUUUCCCCCCUUAUUUUUGACCAGAAAAGUGCAUUAAAAGCAAGUUGAAAAAAAUGAAAAAAACGACAUACUAACCCCUUACGUUUUUUCCAAAAAAUCACAAAAUUAAAAACCUGGCAUUUUAUGCCGUUUUUGGGUGCUCCUGGUGCCCCUGUUGAGUGUGUGUGAGGUUUCCUCCUUAUUUUUAACCAGAAAAGUGCAUUAAAAGCAAGUUGAAAAAAAUGAAAAAAACGACAUACGUUUUUUGUCAAAAAUCACCAAAUUAAAAAUCUAGCAUUUUAUGCCAUUUUUGGGCGCUUCUCAGGCCCCUGUUGAGUGUGUGUGAGGUUUCCCCCUUAUUUUUGACCAGAAAAGUGCAUUAAAAGCAAGUUGAAAAAAAUGAAAAAAACGACAUACUAACCCCUUACGUUUUUUGUCAAAAAUCAACAAAUUAGAAACCUGGCAUUUUAUGCCGUUUUUGGGUGCUUCUCAGUCCCCUAAUGUGUGUGUGUGAGGUUUCCUUUUUAUUUUUGACCAGAAAAGUGCAUUAAAAGCAAGUUGAAAAAAAUGAAAAAAACGACAUACUAACCCCUUACGUUUUUUCCAAAAAAUCACAAAAUUAAAAACCUGGCAUUUUAUGCCGUUUUUGGGUGCUCCUGGUGCCCCUGUUGAGUGUGUGUGAGGUUUCCUCCUUAUUUUUAACCAGAAAAGUGCAUUAAAAGCAAGUUGAAAAAAAAAUAAAAAAACGACAUACUAACCCCUUACGUUUUUUUCAAAAAAUCACCAAAUUAAAAAUCUAGCAUUUUAUGCCAUUUUUGGGCGCUUCUCAGGCCCCUGUUGAGUGUGUGUGAGGUUUCCCCCUUAUUUUUAACCAGAAAAGUGCAAUAAAAGCAAGUUGAAAAAAAUGAAAAAAACGACAUACUAACCCCUUACGUUUUUUGUCAAAAAUCACCAAAUUAAAAAUCUAGCAUUUUAUGCCAUUUUUGGGCGCUUCUCAGGCCCCUGAUGUGUGUGUGUGAGGUUUCCCCCUUAUUUUUGACCAGAAAAGUGCAUUAAAAGCAGGUUGAAAAAAAUGAAAAAAAACGACAUACUAACCCCUUACGUUUUUUCCAAAAAAUCACAAAAUUAAAAACCUGGCAUUUUAUGCCGUUUUCGGGUGCUCCUGGGGCCCCUGUUGAGUGUGUGUGAGGUUUCCCCCUUAUUUUUAACCAGAAAAGUGCAUUAAAAGCAAGUUGAAAAAAAUGAAAAAAACGACAUACUAACCCCUUACGUUUUUUGUCAAAAAUCACCAAAUUAAAAAUCUAGCAUUUUAUGCCAUUUUUGGGCGCUUCUCAGGCCCCUGUUGAGUGUGUGUGAGGUUUCCCCCUUAUUUUUGACCAGAAAAGUGCAUUAAAAGCAAGUUGAAAAAAAUGAAAAAAACGACAUACUAACCCCUUACGUUUUUUGUCAAAAAUCAACAAAUUAGAAACCUGGCAUUUUAUGCCGUUUUUGGGUGCUUCUCAGUCCCCUAAUGUGUGUGUGUGAGGUUUCCUUUUUAUUUUUGACCAGAAAAGUGCAUUAAAAGCAAGUUGAAAAAAAUGAAAAAAACGACAUACUAACCCCUUACGUUUUUUCCAAAAAAAUCACAAAAUUAAAAACCUGGCAUUUUAUGCCGUUUUUGGGUGCUCCUGGUGCCCCUGUUGAGUGUGUGUGAGGUUUCCUCCUUAUUUUUAACCAGAAAAGUGCAUUAAAAGCAAGUUGAAAAAAAAAUAAAAAAACGACAUACUAACCCUUUACGUUUUUUUCAAAAAAUCACCAAAUUAAAAAUCUAGCAUUUUAUGCCAUUUUUGGGCGCUUCUCAGGCCCCUGUUGAGUGUGUGUGAGGUUUCCCCCUUAUUUUUGACCAGAAAAGUGCAUUAAAAGCAAGUUGAAAAAAAUGAAAAAAACGACAUACUAACCCCUUACGUUUUUUGUCAAAAAUCAACAAAUUAGAAACCUGGCAUUUUAUGCCGUUUUCGGGUGCUUCUCAGGCCCCUGUUGAGUGUGUGUGAAGUUUCCCCCUUAUUUUUGACCAGAAAAGUGCAUUAAAAGCAAGUUGAAAAAAAUGAAAGAAAACGACAUACUAAUCCCUUACGUUUUUUGUCAAAAAUCACCAAAUUAAAAACCUGGCAUUUUAUGCCAUUUUUGGGUGCUCCUGGUGCCCCUGUUGAGUGUGUGUGAGGUUUCCCCCUUAUUUUUAACCAGAAAAGUGCAUUAAAAGCAAGUUGAAAAAAAUGAAAGAAAACGACAUACUAAUCCCUUACGUUUUUUGUCAAAAAUCACCAAAUUAAAAACCUGGCAUUUUAUGCCAUUUUUGGGUGCUCCUGGUGCCCCUGGUGUGUGUGUGUGAGGUUUCCCCCUUAUUUUUGACCAGAAAAGUGCAUUAAAAGCAGGUUGAAAAAAAUGAAAAAAACGACAUACUAACCCCUUACGUUUUUUCCAAAAAAUCACAAAAUUAAAAACCUGGCAUUUUAUGCCGUUUUCGGGUGCUCCUGGGGCCCCUGUUGAGUGUGUGUGAGGUUUCCUCCUUAUUUUUAACCAGAAAAGUGCAUUAAAAGCAAGUUGAAAAAAAUGAAAAAAACGACAUACGUUUUUUGUCAAAAAUCACCAAAUUAAAAAUCUAGCAUUUUAUGCCAUUUUUGGGCGCUUCUCAGGCCCCUGUUGAGUGUGUGUGAGGUUUCCCCCUUAUUUUUGACCAGAAAAGUGCAUUAAAAGCAAGUUGAAAAAAAUGAAAAAAACGACAUACUAACCCCUUACGUUUUUUGUCAAAAAUCAACAAAUUAGAAACCUGGCAUUUUAUGCCGUUUUUGGGUGCUUCUCAGUCCCCUAAUGUGUGUGUGUGAGGUUUCCUUUUUAUUUUUGACCAGAAAAGUGCAUUAAAAGCAAGUUGAAAAAAAUGAGAAAAACGACAUACUAACCCCUUACGUUUUUUGUCAAAAAUCAACAAAUUAGAAACCUGGCAUUUAAUGCCGUUUUUGGGUGCUCCUGGUGCCCCUGUUGAGUGUGUGUGAGGUUUCCCCCUUAUUUUUGACCAGAAAAGUGCAUUAAAAGCAAGUUGAAAAAAAUGAAAAAAACGACAUACGUUUUUUGUCAAAAAUCACCAAAUUAAAAAUCUAGCAUUUUAUGCCAUUUUUGGGCGCUUCUCAGGCCCCUGGUGUGUGUGUGUGAGGUUUCCCCCUUAUUUUUGACCAGAAAAGUGCAUUAAAAGCAAGUUGAAAAAAAAAUAAAAAAACGACAUACUAACCCCUUACGUUUUUUGUCAAAAAUAAACAAAUUAGAAACCUGGCAUUUAAUGCCAUUUUUGGGUGCUCCUGGUGCCCCUGUUGAGUGUGUGUGAGGUUUCCUCCUUAUUUUUAACCAGAAAAGUGCAAUAAAAGCAAGUUGAAAAAAAUGAAAAAAACGACAUACUAACCCCUUACGUUUUUUGUCAAAAAUCACCAAAUUAAAAAUCUAGCAUUUUAUGCCAUUUUUGGGCGCUUCUCAGGCCCCUGGUGUGUGUGUGUGAGGUUUCCCCCUUAUUUUUGACCAGAAAAGUGCAUUAAAAGCAAGUUGAAAAAAAUGAAAAAAACGACAUACUAACCCCUUACGUUUUUUGUCAAAAAUCACCAAAUUAAAAAUCUAGCAUUUUAUGCCAUUUUUGGGCGCUUCUCAGGCCCCUGAUGUGUGUGUGUGAGGUUUCCCCCUUAUUUUUGACCAGAAAAGUGCAUUAAAAGCAGGUUGAAAAAAAUGAAAAAAAACGACAUACUAACCCCUUACGUUUUUUCCAAAAAAUCACAAAAUUAAAAACCUGGCAUUUUAUGCCGUUUUCGGGUGCUCCUGGGGCCCCUGUUGAGUGUGUGUGAGGUUUCCCCCUUAUUUUUAACCAGAAAAGUGCAUUAAAAGCAAGUUGAAAAAAAUGAAAAAAACGACAUACUAACCCCUUACGUUUUUUGUCAAAAAUCACCAAAUUAAAAAUCUAGCAUUUUAUGCCAUUUUUGGGCGCUUCUCAGGCCCCUGUUGAGUGUGUGUGAGGUUUCCCCCUUAUUUUUGACCAGAAAAGUGCAUUAAAAGCAAGUUGAAAAAAAUGAAAAAAACGACAUACUAACCCCUUACGUUUUUUGUCAAAAAUCAACAAAUUAGAAACCUGGCAUUUUAUGCCGUUUUUGGGUGCUUCUCAGUCCCCUAAUGUGUGUGUGUGAGGUUUCCUUUUUAUUUUUGACCAGAAAAGUGCAUUAAAAGCAAGUUGAAAAAAAUGAAAAAAACGACAUACUAACCCCUUACGUUUUUUCCAAAAAAAUCACAAAAUUAAAAACCUGGCAUUUUAUGCCGUUUUUGGGUGCUCCUGGUGCCCCUGUUGAGUGUGUGUGAGGUUUCCUCCUUAUUUUUAACCAGAAAAGUGCAUUAAAAGCAAGUUGAAAAAAAAAUAAAAAAACGACAUACUAACCCUUUACGUUUUUUUCAAAAAAUCACCAAAUUAAAAAUCUAGCAUUUUAUGCCAUUUUUGGGCGCUUCUCAGGCCCCUGUUGAGUGUGUGUGAGGUUUCCCCCUUAUUUUUGACCAGAAAAGUGCAUUAAAAGCAAGUUGAAAAAAAUGAAAAAAACGACAUACUAACCCCUUACGUUUUUUGUCAAAAAUCAACAAAUUAGAAACCUGGCAUUUUAUGCCGUUUUUGGGUGCUUCUCAGUCCCCUAAUGUGUGUGUGUGAGGUUUCCUUUUUAUUUUUGACCAGAAAAGUGCAUUAAAAGCAAGUUGAAAAAAAUGAGAAAAACGACAUACUAACCCCUUACGUUUUUUGUCAAAAAUCAACAAAUUAGAAACCUGGCAUUUAAUGCCGUUUUUGGGUGCUCCUGGUGCCCCUGUUGAGUGUGUGUGAGGUUUCCCCCUUAUUUUUGACCAGAAAAGUGCAUUAAAAGCAAGUUGAAAAAAAUGAAAAAAACGACAUACGUUUUUUGUCAAAAAUCACCAAAUUAAAAAUCUAGCAUUUUAUGCCAUUUUUGGGCGCUUCUCAGGCCCCUGUAUGUAUAUAUACAUACAUACACAUAUAUAUGUAUGAACAUGUAUACAUACAUACAUACAUAUAUAAAUAUGCUUUACCGGGGUUGUUCUUCUCCAGUUGAUACCAGCGGAAGAAGGCUCGUUUCUUCUGCUCGCUCAGGUCCGAUCCUUGCUGGAUGAGCCAGUGGGAGAUGCGGCUCUGGCUAAUU